rnacentral:rRNA from 1 species
UCAGACGAUGCGUCAUGCAUAUCAAUAAGCGGAGGAAAAGAAACUAACAAGGAUUCCCCUAGUAACGGCGAGUGAAGCGGGAAGAGCUCAAAUUUGAAAUCUUAAAGGGUUUCCCUUUACGAAUUGUAGUUUAAAGAAGUGUUUUCUGUUGAGGUUUUGGUAAAAGUUCUUUGGAAUAGGACAUCAUAGAGGGUGAGAAUCCCGUAUUUGACCUUUACUUUCAACUUUGUGAUACACUUUCAAAGAGUCGGAUUGUUUGGGAAUGCAGUCCGAAAAUGGGUGGUAAAUUUCAUCUAAAGCUAAAUAUUGGCGAGAGACCGAUAGCGAACAAGUACCGUGAGGGAAAGAUGAAAAGAACUUUGAAAAGAGAGUUAAACAGUACGUGAAAUUGUCAAAAGGGAAGCGUUUGACACCAGUGUUGUUUUUCUGAAAAUCAAUUAAAGAACUGUUUAUGCUAAGCUGUUUAGACUUUAUCAGCUAAUCUGUUUAGUUUUGAGCUUUUCUUUAAUGCACUUUUCAGUUAACAAGUCAACAUCAAUUUCUUUUGCUGUAAAAAAGCUUGAGGAAGGUGGCUUGAGAUUCGUCUUAAGUGUUUAUAGCCUCUUGCCUAUGCAGUCGGAGAGAUUGAGGUCUGCAGCGUAGAUCCUUCGGGGCUAAAUGCAUUUGUGCUAAGUUAUAGCAUUUUAUAGACAACUUGUUGACUAUGAUUUGUCUUGUAGCUUACUCGCUUAUGUUAUUUUACCUACGCUUAGGAUGUUGAAUCUGUGCGAGACUAC